CGUAGGCGGAAAUUUCAGCAUAGAGUAAAAAACUGAGGAAGACCCUCUUUAAUCUCUAUCUACUGAUUUUCUUGAGUUCUGAUGGCGAAGUUGAACUCUUUAAGUAGGAGUAAAAUCGUUGAUAUCUAGAGGACAUCAAAGGCGAAAGCGAUAAUGAGUUAGAUUGACGCUAAGGUACUAAAGUAUGGGUAUGAAAAGGAUUAGAGACCUUGUAGUCCAUACCUUAAACAAUGAGAAUUCAACGUCCGUAAGAUACUAAAUGGACUCUGUCUAUUUUAUGAAACUUAUUGGGGGUUUAAAGCUAACGCGUGAAAUUCCGCCUGGGGAAUGUGGCCGCAAGGUUAAACUCAAAGGAAUUGACGGAGGCUUGUACAAGG
rnacentral:rRNA from 1 species